GGGACACGUGGUAUCCUGUCUGAAUAUGGGGGGACCAUCCUCCAAGGCUAAAUACUCCUGACUGACCGAUAGUGAACCAGUACCGUGAGGGAAAGGCGAAAAGAACCCCGGCGAGGGGAGUGAAAAAGAACCUGAAACCGUGUACGUACAAGCAGUGGGAGCACGCUUAGGCGUGUGACUGCGUACCUUUUGUAUAAUGGGUCAGCGACUUAUAUUCUGUAGCAAGGUUAACCGAAUAGGGGAGCCGAAGGGAAACCGAGUCUUAACUGGGCGUUAAGUUGCAGGGUAUAGACCCGAAACCCGGUGAUCUAGCCAUGGGCAGGUUGAAGGUUGGGUAACACUAACUGGAGGACCGAACCGACUAAUGUUGAAAAAUUAGCGGAUGACUUGUGGCUGGGGGUGAAAGGCCAAUCAAACCGGGAGAUAGCUGGUUCUCCCCGAAAGCUAUUUAGGUAGCGCCUCGUGAAUUCAUCUCCGGGGGUAGAGCACUGUUUCGGCAAGGGGGUCAUCCCGACUUACCAACCCGAUGCAAACUGCGAAUACCGGAGAAUGUUAUCACGGGAGACACACGGCGGGUGCUAACGUCCGUCGUGAAGAGGGAAACAACCCAGACCGCCAGCUAAGGUCCCAAAGUCAUGGUUAAGUGGGAAACGAUGUGGGAAGGCCCAGACAGCCAGGAUGUUGGCUUAGAAGCAGCCAUCAUUUAAAGAAAGCGUAAUAGCUCACUGGUCGAGUCGGCCUGCGCGGAAGAUGUAACGGGGCUAAACCAUGCACCGAAGCUGCGGCAGCGACGCUUAUGCGUUGUUGGGUAGGGGAGCGUUCUGUAAGCCUGUGAAGGUGUGCUGUGAGGCAUGCUGGAGGUAUCAGAAGUGCGAAUGCUGACAUAAGUAACGAUAAAGCGGGUGAAAAGCCCGCUCGCCGGAAGACCAAGGGUUCCUGUCCAACGUUAAUCGGGGCAGGGUGAGUCGACCCCUAAGGCGAGGCCGAAAGGCGUAGUCGAUGGGAAACAGGUUAAUAUUCCUGUACUUGGUGUUACUGCGAAGGGGGGACGGAGAAGGCUAUGUUGGCCGGGCGACGGUUGUCCCGGUUUAAGCGUGUAGGCUGGUUUUCCAGGCAAAUCCGGAAAAUCAAGGCUGAGGCGUGAUGACGAGGCACUACGGUGCUGAAGCAACAAAUGCCCUGCUUCCAGGAAAAGCCUCUAAGCAUCAGGUAACAUCAAAUCGUACCCCAAACCGACACAGGUGGUCAGGUAGAGAAUACCAAGGCGCUUGAGAGAACUCG
rnacentral:rRNA from 1 species